rnacentral:rRNA from 1 species
UACAGAGGGUGCAAGCGUUGUUCGGAAUUACUGGGCGUAAAGCGUGCGUAGGUGGUUCGUUAAGUCUGAUGUGAAAGCCCUGGGCUCAACCUGGGAAUGGCAUUGGAUACUGGCGACCUAGAGUGCGGUAGAGGGGUGUGGAAUUCCCGGUGUAGCAGUGAAAUGCGUAGAUAUCGGGAGGAACAUCUGUGGCGAAGGCGACACCCCGGACCAGCACUGACACUGAGGCACGAAAGCGUGGGGAGCAAACAGG